AUGCCAAUAACCGAGAGUGCUCCGGACAGGCGGUUCCAUGGUGUAAUGGUGAGCACUCUGGACUCUGAAUCCAGCGAUCCGAGUUCAAAUCUCGGUGGGACCUUGUCGUUAGCUGUGCACAAAAGCUGGUCUUUUAUACUGGAGCCGGAAGGCGUUUCAGGAGGCAAACUCCGCCUCAAAGAUAAAGGGAAAGGGGUGUGGAUUCCGUUUGCCCUUUGUUCCAAGUCCUGGGUCAGAGGAGGGAAAGGUUUGGGUCCCGGGAGGGUUCCCCGCAGGGUGCGGGCUGCUGCAAGUCCCCGCGUCCCUCCUGCUCCCGCCUUGCAGUGCGUCCCCGGUGAUGUCACUUGCGCUCUCCUAUCCCCUCCUCAGGGUACCGGGUCCCAAAAAUUGGUUUCUCACAGUGGCCUGAUCCACAGGGAAAUUGCCAAAACAUCCCAUCGGAGUCACCAAGCCUGGAGGGUCCCCGUCCUGAGCGGGCCUCUUGGCCCCCUGCAAUGGGAGGGGCCAGAGCCCACAGCCAGUGCCCCAGCGACCCAGGAAGCCCCACCCCGUGACCCUGGGUUUUGGGGUGAGAGGUCUCCGCCACUGAAAUGGCUGCCUCGCCUCGAUCCUAGACCCGGAGAUGCCUUUCACCCAGAACAUCUCAUAAUGGCACCCGUUGUCUUUUCGAUUUUUUUGCCGAAUUUCUAGCUCCCACGUCUCUAUUGCGGGCUCUUUGUCGCUGUUUCACUAAGCUUUGGAACCUGACUCUGGAAAUCUCAUUCUUUGGUCCCAAGAUCUCAGCCGGAAAGAAAUCUGCGCAGCGGCCUCUCGAGCUCGCGGACUGGGAGCCCUGGUCCUGAUCCUCCGCAGCCUGGAGGGAGCUCCCGCAGGGCCACAGGGAAGAGGAGGCUGAGCAACCCAGAAGGAUGAGUGACAGACGCCGGGGCUCCCACUCGAGCGGCCAGGACCCCGCCCCAAGGAGAAGAGGACGCCUUUGGACCAGACGGAUGCAAAAAUGUUUUCUUCUGCGCAGUAGAACACUUCGGAUGAGGCUCAUGGGCGUUGAGAGCGCGCUAAGAUGUCCCUCCAGGCGCUCAGGACCAUCGCUCUGAUUUUCAUAUUUUGAAAAUAUGAGAAUUUUCAGCAGUUACAAAGGACUGAAAAACACCGAAGUCUUUGAGGCAGUCAGUUUGGAGGGUGUGGGGAGGUGAGGUCCGGGGUGGAAUAGAGGUGCCUUGUUGGCUCCUUGGAGUGCACCGGGAGGAGGGAAAACACACACAUGCUGUUUCCCCUUGCAGGCUGGACUGAAGGGCCUGGGAUGGAAAAUUGCACAGUGAAAGAGGAGCAGGUGCAUUGAAAGUUGCUAUCCCUAGAGAGAAGUGCGGGCGGGGCCAGGACGCUGCCGUCACUGCUGCUGUUCACCACCAGCUUUGCAGCCUGUGAGACCUUCAUAACAGUGUAUAGUGCAUGCAGAUCACUCGUGUUUACAAGCAACUGAUCACAAUUCCUUACAGAUUUCUUUGUUCCUUCCCCACUCCCACUGCUUCACUUGUCUAAACUUAAAGGAAAAAAUAAAACGUUUGUUUUUACACA
rnacentral:lncRNA from 13 species